rnacentral:rRNA from 1 species
UACAGAGGGUGCGAGCGUUAAUCGGAAUUACUGGGCGUAAAGCGCACGUAGGUGGCGACGUAAGUCGGGUGUGAAAGCCCCGGGCUCAACCUGGGAAUUGCAUUCGAGACUGCAUUGCUGGAGUACGGAAGAGGAAGGCGGAAUUCCCGGUGUAGCGGUGAAAUGCAUUGAGAUCGGAAAGAACACCAACGGCGAAAGCACUCUGCUGGGCCGACACUGACACUGAGAGACGAAAGCUAGGGGAGCAAAUGGG